UGAAUACGAGACGCUAAGGCGUCGAAGUAGUGUAUGUCAUACUUCCAAGAAAAGCUUGCACUGUCAUAGAUAAAAAACGCCUGUACCAUAACCGACACAGGUGGGUAGGUAGAGUAUACUAAGGGGCGCGAGAUAACUCUCUCUAAGGAACUCGGCAAAAUAACUCCGUGACUUCGGGAGAAGGAGUGCCUUAUUCGUAAGGUUGCAAUAACAAGAUCCAAGCAACUGUUUAUCAAAAACACAGGUCUCCGCUAAGUCGUAAGACGAUGUAUGGGGGCUGACGCCUGCCCAGUGCCAGAAGGUUAAAGAAGUUGGUUAGCAAUUGCGAAGCUGAUAACUGAAGCCCUGGUGAACGGCGGCCGUAACGAUAACGGUCCUAAGGUAGCGAAAUUCCUUGUCGGGUAAGUUCCGACCCGCACGAAAGGCGUAAUGAUUUGGAUACUGUCUCGGAGAGGGGCUCGGUGAAAUAGACUUGUCUGUGAAGAUGCGGACUACCUGCACCAGGACAGAAAGACCCUAUGAAGCUUUACUGUAACUUGAAAUUGAAAUUGGACUUUAUUCGCGCAGUAUAGGUGGGAGGCGUUGAUUAUAAUCUUGUGGGAUUAUUGGAGCCAUCAGUGAGAUACCACUCUUGUAAUGUUAGAUUUCUAACUUUGAAUCAUUAUCUGGUCAAAGAACAGUUUCAGGCGGGCAGUUUGACUGGGGCGGUCGCCUCCUAAACGGUAACGGAGGCGUACAAAGGUUUCCUCUGAACGGUUAGAAAUCGUAUCUAGAGUGUAAAGGCAUAAGGAAGCUUGACUGUGAGACCUACAAGUCGAGCAGGGACGAAAGUCGGUCUUAGUGAUCUGACGGUACUGAGUGGAAAGGCCGUCACUCAACGGAUAAAAGUUACUCUAGGAUAACAGGCUGAUCUCCCCCAAGAGUUCACAUCGACGGGGAGGUUUGGCACCUCGAUGUCGGCUCAUCGCAUCCUGGGGCGGUAGUACGUCCCAAGGGUUGGGCUGUUCGCCCAUGAAAGCGGUACGCGAGCUGGGUUCAGAACGUCGUGAGACAGUUCGGUCCAUAUCCGGUGUAGGCGUUAGAAUAUUGAGAGGAGCCUUCUUUAGUACGAGAGGACCGAGAAGGACAUACCUCUGGUGUACCAGUUAUCGUUCCAACGGUAAACGCUGGGUAGCUAUGUAUGGAGUGGAUAACCGCUGAAAGCAUCUAAGUGGGAAGCCCACCUCAAGAUAAGUAUUCUC
rnacentral:rRNA from 1 species